UGAACACUCGCACCUACAAGUUACCAUCUCCCAUCAUAUUUGAGCGAAUCAUUGGCAAGAACCACACAAUCUCCAGCGCAGGGAUUUUACUCAGAAGGAACUGUUGUCACCACCCAGAUUGAGGACAUGAAGAGGAAAGAACUGACAGAGGAGGUGAAGAAAGGUGAUCAGGAAGAGCCAUCAAAGUGUUAUCCUGGAAUUCAAGUGAAGACAGUGUUUCAAAGUGGAAAUGAACAGUGUCCUGUAACCCUCAGAGUGAGACUAGAGUCAGAAUGCAGGCUUUUCUCAUUUGAAAUCUCAAGGUAAGUCCAGGUCCUUACCUCCACCUAAAAGUUCUGCCAUCAAGGAACAUCUGCUCAUUAUCUUCUGUUCACACAUCAAAUGACUUCAAUGUGAUCCCUGGAUGUUCUCCAAAGAGCUGAAGGGAAAUAAAUAUUCUUUCUUUAUCACCAAAUACUUCAACUGCAGAGUGAUUGUGCUACCAAGGCCUGAAACUUCGGAAAAACCUGCAUAACACAAAAUAUAAAAUAUGCCACAGAGAGGAUCCAGAGAGCCCAUCUCCGGUCAGUUAUCUGUAUUUGUAUGUCAACUACAGCAUCAAAAAGCAUAGGCAUGGAUACUAAGGACCCCCUCUGUACACCAACGCCAGUCCAAAGGACAGUGUGUCACUGUGAACUGGAAAUUCAUCUCUCUUCUUCAAUUUUUUUCUACCUACUUUAUGCUUUAUCUCUAAGUUGAGGCUGUUUAUGGCCUCAUCCUCAAUUACCUUGUCCCUCAUUACUCCCAGUUAAUGGAGAUUAAGCUUUGUAUCAUGACUUCCUAACUAAAAUUGAAAUCACAAGACAUCACAUAAAUAAAGUU
rnacentral:lncRNA from 10 species